GUGAGGAAUAUUGGUCAAUGGGCGCGAGCCUGAACCAGCCAAGUAGCGUGAGGGAUGACUGCCCUAUGGGUUGUAAACCUCUUUUGCAGGGGGGUAAAGUGGUUCACGUGUGGACCAUUGCAAGUACCCUGCGAAUAAGGAUCGGCUAACUCCGUGCCAGCAGCCGCGGUAAUACGGAGGAUCCGAGCGUUAUCCGGAUUUAUUGGGUUUAAAGGGAGCGUAGGCGGGGGUUUAAGUCAGCUGUGAAAUGCCGUGGCCCAACCAUGGAACUGCAGUUGAAACUGGACCUCUUGAGAGUACAUAAGGAAGGCGGAAUUCGUGGUGUAGCGGUGAAAUGCAUAGAUAUCACGAAGAACUCCGAUUGCGAAGGCAGCUUUCCGGGGUACAUCUGACGCUGAAGCUCGAAAGUGCGGGAAUCAAACAGGAUUAGAAACCCUUGUAGUCC
rnacentral:rRNA from 1 species